rnacentral:tRNA from 1 species
UGGGGAAUAGUUUAGCGGUAGAACUUCCGGCUCUGGACCGGGCAACCGUGGUUCGAAUCCACGUUCCCCAGCCA